GAUGAACGCUGGCGGCGUGCCUAAUACAUGCAAGUCGAGCGAACAGACGAGGAGCUUGCUCCUCUGACGUUAGCGGCGGACGGGUGAGUAACACGUGGAUAACCUACCUAUAAGACUGGGAUAACUUCGGGAAACCGGAGCUAAUACCGGAUAAUAUAUUGAACCGCAUGGUUCAACAGUGAAAGACGGUUUUGCUGUCACUUAUAGAUGGAUCCGCGCCGCAUUAGCUAGUUGGUAGGGUAACGGCUUACCAAGGCAACGAUGCGUAGCCGAUCUGAGAGGGGGAGGAGUCAGACUGGAACUGAGACAAGGUCAAGACGCCGACGGGAGGCAGCAGUGGGGAAUAUUGGAAAAUGGGCGAAAGCCUGAUCAAGCAAUGCCGAGUGAGUGAAGAAGGUCUUAGGAUCGUAGAGCACUUUAAGUUGGGAGGAAGAGAAGUAAGUUAAUAACUUGGUGUUUGGACGUGACCAAAAGAAUAAGCAACGGCUAACUUCGUG
rnacentral:rRNA from 1 species